AGCGAACGCUGGCGGCAGGCCUAACACAUGCAAGUCGAGCGCCCGUAGCAAUACGGGAGCGGCAGACGGGAUAGUAACACGUGGGAACGUACCCUUCAGUUCGGAACAACCCAGGGAAACUUGGGCUAAUACCGAAUACGUCCGUAAGGAGAAAGAUUUAUCGCUGAAGGAUCGGCCCGCGUCUGAUUAGCUAGUUGGUGGGGUAAUGGCCCACCAAGGCGACGAUCAGUAGCUGGUCGAGAGGAUGAUCAGCAUCACUGGGACUGAGACACGGCCCAGACUCCUACGGGAGGCAGCAGUGGGGAAUAUUGGACAAUGGGCGCAAGCCUGAUCCAGCCAUGCCGCGUGGAUGAUGAAGGCCCUAGGGUUGUAAAGCUCUUUUGUGCGGGAAGAUAAUGACGGUACCG
rnacentral:rRNA from 1 species